CUACGUGCCAGCAGCCGCGGUAAUACGGAAGGUCCAGGCGUUAUCCGGAUUUAUUGGGUUUAAAGGGAGUGUAGGCGGUCUGUUAAGCGUGUUGUGAAAUUUAGGUGCUCAACAUCUACCUUGCAGCGCGAACUGGCGGACUUGAGUGCACGCAACGUAUGCGGAAUUCAUGGUGUAGCGGUGAAAUGCUUAGAUAUCAUGACGAACUCCGAUUGCGAAGGCAGCGUACGGGAGUGUUACUGACGCUUAAGCUCGAAGGUGCGGGUAUCGAACAGGAUUAGAUACCCUGGUAGUCCGCACGGUAAACGAUGGAUGCCCGCUGUUAGCGCCUGGCGUUAGCGGCUAAGCGAAAGCAUUAAGCAUCCCACCUGGGGAGUACGCCGGCAACGGUGAAACUCAAAGGAAUUGACGGGGGCCCGCACAAGCGGAGGAACAUGUGGUUUAAUUCGAUGAUACGCGAGGAACCUUACCCGGGCUUGACAUCCCUCUGACCUCUCUAGAGAUAGAGAUUUC
rnacentral:rRNA from 1 species